AACAAAUGGCCGCUGCUGCAAUACCGAAAGGCUGCAGGAGAGGAAAGUCCGGGCUUCACAGGGCAGGGUGCCAGAUAACGUCUGGCGGAAGCGACUCCAGGGACAGUGCAACAGAAAUGUACCGCCGUUUGGAACCUAGUGCUGGCACUAUAUAUCGACGUAUUUACGCCGGGAGGCACUAGUUCCAUGCGGUAAGGGUGGAAGGGCAGUGUAAGAGACUACCGCCCGUCUGGUAACAGACGGGGCAUAUGUAAACCCCACUCGAAGCAAGACCGAACAGGAAGCAUAUGGCGGCCCGCCAGCUUUCGGGUAGGUUGCUUGAGGCUGCCGGCGACGGCAGUCCUAGAUAGAUGGCCAUUCAACGACAUAACCCGGCUUACCGUUCUGCUCG
rnacentral:RNase_P_RNA from 1 species